UAGAUUAACCAGUUAAAGCUGUGGAUCUUUGAACUGUGCGGGCCCACUUAUACAUUUUCCCCCCAGUAAAUACUAUAAAUAUAUUUUCUCUUCUUUAAGUUUUCUUAAUAACAUGUUCUUUUCUCUAGCUUACUUUAUUGUAAGACUAUAGUUUAUAAUACUUAUAACUUACAAAAUAUGUGUUCAUCGACUUUAUAUUGUUGGUAAGGCUUACUGUCAAUAGUAGGAUAUUAGUGGUUAAGUUUUGGGGGAGUUACAAGUUAUAUGUGGAUUUGCAUGGGAGGGGGGUGGUAACCCCAGCAUUGUUAAAGCGUCCACGGUAUUCUUUCCUGGUUCAGUCACAUUGCUAUCACUUCUAGCAUCUCGGAAUCAGAGGACCUGUAGGCAUCAUGUACUUCAACCUCCUCUUGUUACGUGAGGAAGCCAUAUUCUAGAGAGGAAGGCCAAUCAGCCCGUGGUCACACUGAAAAGUUUACUGGCUGUUCUGAGUAUUUAGACAGACUUCUGAGUAUGGGAAGCUAUGUCUCUACCUCAGAGAGAAAUCAUCAUUUUUGGAAAGUGCCUUGGCCAUUGCAGUGUCCAACAGUAAACAGAUCAAAGGCAAAAGGGUGUGAAUCAGAAGAGAAAGUCUCUGGAAAGGGAUAGCCAUGUCCCUCCCACUUCUGCUCUAUCAAGAAGAGAUGCUCUCCUCAGCUGGCAGCUACAGGGACGCUUGCUUGUGCCCACAAUGUGGAGAACUCUCAAAGACCAGUUCCCAAAGAAGAGCCAUCCUCAGGAUGCCUUUUCCAUUAUUGCAUUAAAGAUGAGAAAACAGGUUCGGAUAAAGGAAGUGACUUAGCAAAGUCACACAAAUCAGGAUGGGUGGAGUCAAGAACUAAACCUCUGGACUCUGAAGACUCUGCUUGCCCCACUGUGUUGGACUGUCAGACAAACACGAAGCCUGAAGAUAGACUGUGUUAUCUUGGAAAGUAUUGAGUUCCCUGUCAUUGGAGGUGAUCAUUUGUCAAGAAUUCCAUGGAAGGAAUUCAAUAAAAGAAGUUUGACUCUGGAAUCAUGCCGCCUUAGUAAUUAAUUUGCUGAAGUUUUCUUAAGCUGUUUUUUAGACCUAUUAUAC